rnacentral:tRNA from 1 species
GUGGGCAAAGUUCAGUUGCGCUUGAACACCUACGUUGGUCCGGACCAGUCGUAGGAGGUCACGGGUUCGAUUCCCGUUGUCCACG